AUGGCUUCUUGGCCUUUUGGCUACGAUCAAGUGUAGUAUCUGUUCUUAUCAGUUUUAUAAGAGUCUUAUUUAGAUUGUUGCUAUGGGAGUUUCC
ensembl:snRNA U2 U2 spliceosomal RNA